ensembl:lncRNA
GAAGCUUUGUAAGCACUUCCAACAAAUAGAGAUAAGAGGCAAGCGAGAUAGAAAAGUCCCCAUCCUCCUUGAACCUGAUAUGCUGGCAUCGAUGGAGUUACUUGUCAAGACCGCCGGAACUGCGAUGUGCCUGAUGAGAAUCUGUUCAUGUUUGGGAGACCACAAGCUGUCAGUCCCUUCAGAGGAUCAGAUGUUGUUCGUCAGGUUGCUCAAAGCUGUGGGGCAAAACCGCCAGAAGCAAUAUCCUCUACUAAAUUGCGGAAACACAUUGCCACUAUGUCCAAGGUCCUCAAUUUAAAGGACAAUGAAAUGGAUGACCUUGCUGACUUCCUCGGCCAUGACAUCAGAGUACAUCGCCAGUAUUAUAGGCUACCUGAGGGGACAUUACAGCUGGCGAAGAUAAGUAAGAUUCUUAUGGCCCUGGAACGAGGAGAGCUGUCUGAAUUCAAAGGAAAGAAUCUUGACCAGAUCAACAUUGAUUCAGAAGAGAAAAUGGCUGUCGACAGUGAUGCAGCAAGCAUUGAAGAUGAGGAUGACAUGACUGUGCCUCCACCUUCACCUGCAUCUACAAAAUCAUCAGCUUCAUCUUCAAAAGUAUCAGAUGGGUCGGAUGAAAAGAUGCCACUGGUUGGGGAGGUCUCUAGAGAUUCACAUACAACGAAAAGUGUAUCAGUAAUGGACUCAUUUGACCCAAUAAUUGUGUUGGAGCAUGAGGCCA